rnacentral:tRNA from 1 species
GUUCUUGUAGUUGAGUAACAACGGUGGCUUUUCAUGCCAUUGGCUACAGUUGAGUCUGUAUAAGAAUA